AAUGAACGCUGGCGGCAUGCCUAACACAUGCAAGUCGAGCGAACACACGGGGAGUUUUCUCGUAUGACGUUGGCGGCGGACGGGUGAUUCCCACGUGGAUAACCUACCUAUAAGACUGGGGUACCUACACGGGACCGGAUCUAAUACCGGAUAAUAUAUUGAACCUGAUGGUUCAAUCGUGAAAACCGGUUUUGAUGAGACUAAUAGAUGGAUCCGAGUCGCAUUAGCUAGUUGGUAAGGUAGCGGCUUACCAAGGCUACGAUGCGUAGCCGACCUGAGAGGGUGAUCGGCCACACUGGAACUGAGACACGGUCCAGACUCCUACGGGAGGCAGCAGUAGGGAAUCUUCCGCAAUGGGCGAAAGCCUGAUGGAGCAACGCCGCGUGAGUGAUGAAGGUCUUCGGAUCGUAAAGCUCUGUAAGUAGGGAGGAAGAAAAGUGUAUUUAACCAUGACCGUCUUGACGGUACCGAAAGAGUAAGCCACGGCUAACUACGUG
rnacentral:rRNA from 1 species